rnacentral:rRNA from 1 species
GACGAACGCUGGCGGCGUGCUUAACACAUGCAAGUCGAACGGAAAGGCCCUGCUUUUGUUUGGUGCUCGAUUGGCGAACGGGUGAGUAACACGGGAGUAACCUGCCCUUGACUUUCUGGUAACUGCAGGAAACUGGUGCUAAUACCGGAUAGUAGCUCCUGCUGCAUGUUGGGGGUUGGAAAGUUUCGGCGGUUGGGGAUGGACUCGCGGCUUAUCAGCUUGUUGGUGGGGUAGUGGCUUACCAAGGAUUUGACGGGUAGCCGGCCUGAGAGGGUGACCGGGCACAUUGGGACUGAGAUAGGGCCAAGAAUCAUACGGGAGGAAGCAGCGGAAAAUAUUGCACACUGGGCGGAAGCCUGAUGCAGCGACGUCGGGUGCGGGAUCACGGUCUUAGGGUUAUAAACCGCUUUCGACUGUAAAGAAGAGUGAGUGACGGUAAUGGAUAAGAAAGCAACGGCUAACUACGUG